UACGUAGGGCGCAAGCGUUGUCCGGAAUUAUUGGGCGUAAAGAGCUCGUAGGCGGUUUGUCGCGUCUGCUGUGAAAACCUAAGGCUCAACCUUGGGCUUGCAGUGGGUACGGGCAGACUAGAGUGCGGUAGGGGUGACUGGAAUUCCUGGUGUAGCGGUGAAAUGCGCAGAUAUCAGGAGGAACACCGGUGGCGAAGGCGGGUCUCUGGGCCGAUACUGACGCUCAUGCACGAAAGCGUGGGGAGCAAACAGG
rnacentral:rRNA from 1 species